GAUGUCCGAGCCUCGGCGUGGCCCUUGAAUGCGCCACAGUGCAGAUGUUCAGAGGGUGUGGUGAGUUUAAACUCCUGGGUAUGUUUGACACUGAAGGACAAUAUUCUCCAUGAAUUAGAUGCGAAGCGUCUCUCAAGUGUCUCCAAAACUCCGGCAGGAUGGAGGCGUGUGUGGUAAAGCCAGAAGUCAAGAAGAAACCAAACCCGCCCAAGGCUCCUCCGAAGCCUGCAGAGGUCAAAAGAAAUGAAGCAGAGAGACCAGGUCCUGUGGUUCCUCCACGACCAAGAGAUGAUGAACUGAGUCAAACACAAUAUAGACUACAGAGCUCAGCAGUGGAAAACAAACAGACUGAUGGAAACGCGAAGCAACGAGAGACAAAAGAGAAACUGCCUGAAACUCCCGUCAUUCCACCCAGACCUACAGAAAAGGAACUGAACAAUGCAACCAGAUGCAGUCAGCGCAGGAGGGUCCAGGCUGAGGACAUGGAGAGCUUCAGAGAAACUGUCCAACCAGAAACUGAAGAAGUUCCCAGAGAUGAAGCCGACUUCAAACAGAGCAAUGAGUCAGUCUUGACCGGGAUGUUUCGACAGAGCCAUAAAGAGAAAACGCCGACGUUCACUAGUUACAUGAUCCACACCUUUGACGAAGAGGAGAAAACCGACGAGGCCCCAGUCAAACAGGCUCCUGGCAGCAAACCGGGUGUUCUGAAGGGAGUAAUGAAAGGGUUGCAGAUCAAGUCGUCACCAAAGGCCAGCAGAGACCCGAGUCCAGAUUCGAAGGCAGAGGAAGGAGGCUCAGAAAAGGAACAAUCUGCAGAAAAAAACAAGCCAGAGAAAAAUGCAGAACCCAAACAGGACAAAGGAGGUCUGCUCGCUGGAAUGUUCCGAAAAACACCCAAAGAGAAAUUAUCUUCUCCAGCAGUGAUGGUCAGUAAAGCAAACAGUGAUACCGAGCAUGCAGAAGAAGAAGGGAAAACAUCAGAACAGUCCAACGAAAAGGGAGGCUUCUUCUCUGGCAUCCUUAAAAAAUCCAACAAACCAGCAGAUGAGAUGUCUGCACAGGAGACUCUGAGUGCUCAUAGUGAUCUAUCUGCCAGCAGCGACAGUCUGUCUGAAAACAGGGAAAAAGGAAAAAUUUUUGGCGGGAUUUUCAAGAAGUCGCGGAAACCAGCAGAAGCCGCUCAAACCGAUGAGGACCAAGAGUCACUGCAUGGAGAUCUGUCCAGCAGCACUGUUAAUCUGAAUGAAGCUCCAUCGAAGGAGAAAGGUUUUUUCAGCGGCAUCCUGCGCAAAUCUCCUAAGAUUCCUGGAGAGGGGACACCUGGGCAGGAUAAAGAGUUGCAGUGGACUGACCUGUCAGCCAGCAGUGAGAGUCUGUCAGAGAACACCAAAAUAAGGGAGAAGGGGAAUGUUUUCAGUGCGAUGUUUAAGAAAUCUCCAAAACUGUCUGAAGGCUCCCGACUGGAAGAGGUAACAUAUCUACAUACUUACUCUACAGGCCAAAAGUUUGGAAGCUGUUUCAAGUUUCUAUUCACAAAGUCUUUCUUAAAAAGGUCAAAACAAUAAAAAACAGUAUGAAUUCUAUGGAUUUUGAGAUGCAUUUACUGCAAGAUCAGACUUUUGUUUCAUUGAUUUGCGCCAGUUUCCUCAGUUUAUCUUUAGGUAUACA
ensembl:lncRNA